AGGGGCUCUGCCCGGGUCCACUGUCUAGGUGCACGGAAGUUGGGGGGCGAGAGGUCUUCCACUUCUCCAGCAAACUGGAACGGAUUGCUGGCGGUUCCCUGGAGGGUCCUGGCUUGUGCGUGUCAGGACGCCUCUCCGCGACCGCUCAUAAAGGGUUAUGGAGCCUGGCGUGAAGUUAAAGUUUACUCCUAUCCUGGAGGUGUUCUUGGAGGGCAGAAGAGGAUAUGGAAUCCCCUGGAGCUGCAGUUAUGGCGGGUGUGAGAUGUCUGAUUGUGGGUGCUGGGAACCCAGUUCAACUCCUUGGCAAGAGCGGCACUGCCUUUAACCGCCUAGCAUCUCCUCAGCCCCACGUGUCCAGUUUUAGCCCGCACUGAGGCAAGCAUCCUACCAAUUGAGCUACAGACCAAGACACCUGGACGUGGUGGCCCACAUCUAUAACCCCCAGCACUUCCAAGGCUGAGACAGGAGGGUUGCCACCGUUUGAGGCUAGCCCAAGCUACACAGUGAAUUCCAGGCUCAGCCUGGGCUUCAGAGUCAGAAUGUAUCUACAAAUCUUUCUGGGUCUGUGUUGGAUGGUAUCCUUAAUUUUCUAACAUCACAUUUGCAGGGCAGCGGUUAGAAGUAGAAGUACUGUAAAGUGGAAAGGCUUAGGGCGUGGAGACAUGGUUAAUAGAGCAUACGGUUCUCACAGAGGACCAGAGUUUGGAUCCCAGCACCCAUGCCCAGCGCCCACAACUGCCUGUAACUCCAGAGGAGUCGGGCACCUCUGAGGGCACAGGCACUCAUGUGCAAGACCCACACACAUAUACAAAAUUGAAUUUUCAAUAAAAGUCCUUUUUUAAAAUGGAAAAAUUAAAGAUUAAAAUUUCUUAAAAAUUCAAAAACAUAAAAAGCUCAAAUAUUGUUCAUAUAUACAAGAUGUUGGCCGUAGCAUUUUUAUAGAAGCAAAUAAAGAAGAACUUAUAGUAAAUCUACAUAAUAGAAUAUUGUUUGGCAUUAAAAAGAGCAAUUUUAUUUAAUUCUAUGUGAGCCCAAAUAAACCCUUCC